rnacentral:rRNA from 1 species
AUUGAACGCUGGCGGCAUGCUUUACACAUGCAAGUCGAACGGUAACGCGGGGGCAACCCUGGCGACGAGUGGCGAACGGGUGAGUAAUACAUCGGAACGUGCCCAGUAGUGGGGGAUAGCUCGGCGAAAGCCGGAUUAAUACCGCAUACGACCUACGGGUGAAAGCGGGGGAUCGCACGACCUCGCGCUAUUGGAGCGGCCGGUGGCAGAUUAGCUUGUUGGUGGGGUAAAAGCCUACCAAGGCUACGAUCUGUAGCUGGUCUGAGAGGACGACCAGCCACACUGGGACUGAGACACGGCCCAGACUCCUACGGGAGGCAGCAGUGGGGAAUUUUGGACAAUGGGCGCAAGCCUGAUCCAGCAAUGCCGCGUGUGUGAUGAAGGCCUUCGGGUUGUAAAGCACUUUUAGUGGGAACGAGACGGUCCGGGCCAAUACCCUGGACUACUGACGGUACCCGCAGAAUAAGCACCGGCUAACUACGUGCCAGCCGCCGCCGUAA